UUAAAUCUAAAAAGAGCCUCUCACCUGAGGCCUUCACCUGAGAGCUGGAGCCUGUGCGAUGGAUUAUCUGGACAGGGACCCCAAUGAACAGGGCUCUGCUGGAGUGAGGAAGCUGACUGAGGGAAGAACCAGAAGGCUGCCAAAAUGUCUGCUGCUGGGGAAACCAAACCACAGUAACUUCAGAAAUAUAUACUUGGAAUAUGUCAUGUAUUAAUGGGUAAAGACACCGUGGAUAUGAAGGAAAUCACCUAUGGGAGAAUAUUAAGAAGAGAAGAAGAUGCUCUCCACACCAGUCCAUGGCUGCCGUGGUGUCAAUGAUUCAGGACUGUUUUUUUAAUCUCUUCAAUUCCUCUUCCAGAGACAUGAAGUUAAAACCAGGUACUAUGAGUGCUCACUUAAUAUUUGGUUCUUACGAAGGUAUUUUUUCUAUGUAGAUAGUUGUAAACUUGGUGUCUUGCUGGGGGUGGUGGCGGGAACAAUUGGUGAAACUUUCGAUUCCACUAUUUUGCUCUGCGUCUCUUCAGCACUAGUGUUUAUACUUAGUACCUUUUCUUUAUACUAAAGCCUUUCAAUACCCAGGUGAAAAUAAUACAGGAAAAAUGUAUUUGAACAUGAAAACAACUAUUUAAAGGUAUGGUUAGGAAUUUUGUGCAUAUAUUGCUAUACAUAUACAUUGUAUGUACAUACAUGUACAUUCUUAUAUAUAUUUUAUAUUUAUAUAUUUUGUGUGCAUAUAUACAUAUGUGUGUGUAAUCAACACACUUAUAAGUGUACUUAUAAGUGUUCAAAGUCAUUUUCCCAUGUACAGUUUCCCCUUCUCUUUUAUAUCUCUAUUGUGUCCUAUACUUUGUUUUUAGAGGCAUACUGUUUGCAAAGUUUACUUAGACAAAGAAAAAAGUUUUUCUCAUACUUUUUCAUGAAAUGAUAUUAUACUUGCAAUAAGAGGCACCAACUUUAGUAGAAACCUGAAAUAUGUUUCUAAUAACUCAUCAUAGUUAUGCUCCAUAUGACAAUAAUGAAAUUUGAAUGCUUGUGGUGGCUUUAGGUGGUGGCUGUGCAGAGAUGGAGAGUGCUGGGUCAGUCCUAGAUAAAGGUCAAUGGCCAGCAGGUACAAUCUGUGACUAAAUAGCCACAUUCAGAAGAAAAAGUGCCAACUGGUAUUGAAAGUUUAUGAAGUGCCACCAAGAAGAUGUUCUGAAAAUUGUUGUUUAAUGAAAGAUUGAAAUGAACAGAUAAAGAAGUUGGUUAGAUUACAGGAAACUGGCUUCAGGUACUUCAUAAAAGUUUUUCCUAAUGAUUUUCUCUUGUUUAUGCACUAUAUCUAUCUAAUUGUCACCUUUGUGUUGGAUUAAGUGUACCACUCAUGUUAAAGUUGAGUCUCAGGAUAAAAAUCUCUCCAAAUCAACCAUGUAUUUGAGUUCUGCUUUGGAACCAUCAGAAGUCUAGUUCAAUUCAGCUCUUGUUAGUGUGGAGUCAGGGUGCUGGUUUUCAAUAGAAACUAGGAUCACAUCCUGAUGCAGGGUGUGUGGGGUUAUCCUGGAACAGCAGGAGAGCAUGAUCCAGGAUGGAAAACCAUGCAUGGGAACCACAGUGGAGCAGAUGGCUUCUAUGUAGCAAUCACUGCUUUGCUGGGAUUGUCAGAUAAACCAGAGAUGGCUCAGACUUGGUCUUUCCCUAAGGAGGCAUUGCUUAUAGAUGGUAAAUAUUUCACCAGCAUUCAGCUGCUAAGGUGGGGUCAGGAAGGUCAACUGGAGCUUUGAGAAUUUCUAGCUCAGACCUGAAGCUAUCUCAGGGAAUUCAAUAGUAAGGGGUAAGGUGGAGCAGCAAAGAAAAGAACCAAAAGGAAGUGUUCUGGAUCCUCCAUUCCUACUUCAACUAGGGCAACCCCAUAUCAUAUUUCACUUAAACAAAUAAAUUUACCUUAAAAACUACAUUAAGUACCUCUGCUUUCGAUGAUUAUUUAUGUGAACACCGAGGUAGGGGCACAUAUUUUGCUGAUAAUAAAAAUGAUCAUUGUUGAUUAAACUGCUUUGAGGCAUUAGCAGGUUUGUUAUAGGAAAAAUCAAGACAGAACAACACAUCCUGUGGUGUCUGGACAGAGCUGACCCUGUGCAACACAGACCUCAAUGGACCCUGAUAUCUUCUUGGUUAGUUCCAUGACUUGACUAAAUGGGGGCUUGGCUAUCUUGACAGAGUCUCAUUCCAGCCCUGUUCACAUGCUCGGUGGUUGUGGAAAUACAGACUCCAAGUCAUUCAACACUUUUAGCACCUUCCUGAGACCAUUUACUCUCUAAAAUGGAGUCUACCUGCUUCCACCUGAGAGCUAAAGAACCUUCUCUUUGAUCAAGCUGAGUUCCAGAGUUCCAAGUUUCCCAGGAUUCAGAGAUCCCUGGCCCAGCUGUGAUAUGCAGUCUCAAAACACAAAACAUCUGGAGAGAUGAUAUGAACAGUUCAUCUUUCCCUAUUUAUAUUUGAAGGCUAAGGCAAUGUUUAUGGAAUAAAGAAUUUGUUUAAAUGAAUGUCUGAACAUUAUGAAUUCCUUGUUAUACUUUAUCUGGCUUCACAAUUGAUGUAGUGAACCAAGAUCUCUCUAUACAUAUACUCACAUGCAUACACAUACACAUAGGCUUAUAGUCAUAAAGCUAUAUAGUCAUAUAUACAUGUAUCUAUAUAUCAAAAAAGAGAUUGUUAUUUUUCUUUAUGUACCUAGGGAAAUCCCUGAACCUAUUAAGGCCACUAUAUUCAUUUCUCUAAAGUCUAAAAGCAGACUGGAAGGAUGGAAUAUGAGUAUAACACGAAAGUAAUAUUUUUCACAAAGUCAUGGCUAUUAAGAACCUUAUAGUCUUUGAGUGGAGUGUAUAAUUUGAAAUUAAAGUUUCAUAACUGAGUAUCCUUCUUUUUAGAAGAAAAAUGUUCUCAUAAAUCUGUUACCCAAAAUGCUUUUGAAAGAAAAUUUACCAUUUUCUUCAACUUUAAAAUCAUACUUGCAAGGGAAGCUCUGUGCAGAGAUGUUUGGCAUAAAUAUGAAUGACAAUAUAUAAAAACUAUUACCACACUACUAAAAAAUGUUGGGCAGCUUUGACCUGGUUAUUUGAUUGAACUUUCUGAAUCUGAUUUGUCAACUGAAGACAAGUAAAAGUUUUUUUACAAAUUCUAUCCUUAGCCUCUCAAUUAAUCUCAAAUAUUUGUUCAGAGAAAUAAUUGAAAAUUCUGACUGUAUCCUGACUGAAAUGUGGAUCACUGGGGGCCUCAAAGCUUCAGUGUGUUUAGUUCCCUAUGGUUUUGAGGCACAUGCCCUAUGUGAACCUUUUGAAGGACAGAAAAAUUCAUAACUGACUAGCAAUUGGUUAACUUUAGUUAAAAAGUGAAACACCUACUCUAGUGGUGCAAAAGAUGUCUGCAAAGGGCAAAAUCUUCAGCUUUGAAAGGCAUUCAGCAAUGUCAAUAGACUAGCACUUGAGAGUCACCUAAAAUUUAUUUGUAUUACUUUUCACCCAAUUUUAAAGAAGAAUAUUUCUAAGAUAAAAGCUUAAAACUUUUUAAUUAAAAAAAAAAAACUAAACUCAGUACUCCUAAGCCUUCAUAGAUAUAUACUUCAGUAUCUUGCAUGACAUUGAAAGCUCUAAUAACCAAAUUCUUUCCUGACUCCUAAUUAUGUGUCCUUGUUCUUCUGUUUAAAGUAACAUUUUGUGUCUAUUUGUGUAUAUGCAUGUGUACACAUUUGUGUGAGUUCACAAAUGAUUACUCUGAUGAAUGUUAAUUUAUAUCAAUCUAACCAAAAUAAAAUUAGAGAAAUCU
rnacentral:lncRNA from 1 species